AUUGAACGCUGGCGGCGUGCUUUACACAUGCAAGUCGAACGGUAACAGGCCUUCGGGUGCUGACGAGUGGCGAACGGGUGAGUAAUGCAUCGGAACGUACCCAGAGGUGGGGGAUAACGCAGCGAAAGCUGUGCUAAUACCGCAUGUGAUCUGAGGAUGAAAGCGGGGGACCGAGCAGCAAUGUUUGGCCUCGCGCCUUUGGAGCGGCCGAUGUCGGAUUAGCUAGUUGGUGGGGUAAAGGCCUACCAAGGCGACGAUCCGUAGCUGGUCUGAGAGGACGACCAGCCACACUGGGACUGAGACACGGCCCAGACUCCUACGGGAGGCAGCAGUGGGGAAUUUUGGACAAUGGGCGCAAGCCUGAUCCAGCAAUGCCGCGUGCGGGAAGAAGGCCUUCGGGUUGUAAACCGCUUUUGGCAGGAACGAAACGGUGUCCGCUAAUACCGGGCGCUAAUGACGGUACCUGCAGAAUAAGCACCGGCUAACUACGUG
rnacentral:rRNA from 1 species